rnacentral:tRNA from 1 species
UUUUUGGGGAUAGAGGGACUUGAACCCUCACGAUUUUAAAAGUCGACGGA